GGAUUUUAGGUCUUUUUUAUUUGAAAAUAUUAUUUUCAUCAGGAAGUCUCAUGUAAAUGGUGCCAUCACUGUUGUUGGGAAAUGUGAACUAGCAGUUAGCAUUCCCAAGUUACCUUCAGCACUGUCCACUUGUUCUGAUCAUAGCGGAAAUAGGACCCUUGGUUUCUGACCUUUGGUAGAAGCUCUAAAUUCUCUUAAAUGCUCUCCCCUAGAUUUCUUAUCACUGAUCAUGUGGAUCUCAUUUUCUACUCGCUAUGAAUGUUAGAGCUUGAAGAAAGCUUUGAGGUAAUGGGCUGUGGAAGACAGAAGAGUGAACCAGUCACCUUCCUUGUUCUUCAGUUCAGACAAUCCUUCGUUUGGACAACUGGAGGAUGAAGAUCCCUGGACAUAAUGAAAGAUGCAGUGCACAGAAGUGGAGCUUGCUUCUAAGGACCAGAAAUGUUGUGUAUUGCUAGUUCUCGACUCGUUCCUGUUGUCACAAAGGAAGAUACAAACAAGUUAACGUCACACACUGCAUACCUCACGUCAGAUCU
rnacentral:lncRNA from 1 species